AUGCUUCAAAAACAUUUGGUACAAGUUGGAAACUUAGCUGAUAUUUUUCCGUCAUGGUCACUUUUCUACAAGUUUCGCUUUAUAUCGAACUGCAAAUUGAGUACGGUAAGCCCACAAAAAUGUCAAUAUAUAUACGGCCAAUUUCUGGACAUAACAAGAUGGAGUUUUAUGGCCACGCCAUUUAGUAAAAGUAUGGGAAUUUAUAUGUACAUAUAAAGGAAGGAAGGAAGUAAGGUAGAAGGCGAUUCCUACGCAUAUUAAUAUGUCAGAAUUUUUGCAUGCGCUGCACAAACAAAACAUAUAAAUUCAUGAGAGCCGAAAGCGAUUAAGUUAAUCCGCUAAAUUGCCCAAAUUCGAUGAGCGAGCGGAGAAAAGAAAGGGAAAAAAUUGGAAAAUCAAGCCGAGUGCAAAUUCUUUGGCCUGCGGUUGGAAAUGACUUUUAGGCAAAUUGCAGAAGCAAAACCCAAAUCAGAGCCCGAAUGAGGAUCCCACCCAGAGUCCGGAACAGUUGGCGUCUGUGGCUGCCAGGCAACCGGAGCAACCGGGGCAAUUCAAACCAAUACGGCUAAGUGCCCGGGAGGCAAUCAUAUCCCCGCAGUCGCAGGCGGAUUUGUAUUUAUGCCCGGCACUGUUGGUAAACAACGAUUUUCCAUUCGGACAUCAACAAAGCCGCUGCGGGGGGUGUUGCAAAUCGAAAUUUGGCCAGCAAAAAUUUAAAUUAAUAUAAAUAAAUGCAUUGUCCAUACGGCAUCAAAGCAAUAUUA